rnacentral:rRNA from 1 species
GACGAACGCUGGCGGCGUGCUUAACACAUGCAAGUCGAGCGGAGCGGCGGACGGGUGAGUAAUGCCUAGGAAUCUGCCUGGUAGUGGGGGAUAACGUCCGGAAACGGGCGCUAAUAUCGCAUACUAUCAGAUGAGCCUAGGUCGGAUUAGCUAGUUGGUGGGGUAAAGGCAUACCAAGGCGACGAUCCGUAACUGGACUGAGAGGAUGAUCAGUCACACGGGAACUGAUACACGGUCCAGACUCCUCCGGGAGGCAGCAGUGGGGAAUAUUGGACAAUGGGCGAAAGCCUGAUCCAGCCAUGCCGCGUGUGUGAAGAAGGUCUUCGGAUUGUAAAGCACUUUAAGUUGGGAGGCGUUACCAACAGAAUAAGCACCGGCUAACUUCGUGCCAGCAGCCGCGGUAAUAC